rnacentral:tRNA from 2 species
CAAAUUAGAGCUUGUAAAAGCUUCUUGUUUACAUUAAGAGGAAAGUUGUGUGAUUCAAUUUAAUUUGA